rnacentral:rRNA from 1 species
AUUGAACGCUGGCGGCAGGCCUAACACAUGCAAGUCGAGCGGAGCGGCGGACGGGUGAGUAAUACCUAGGCGUCUGCCUGCUAGUUGGGGAUAACGUCCAACAACGGGCGCUAAUUCCUAAUACUAUCCGUUGAGCCUAGGUCGGAGUCGCUAGUUGGUGGGGUAAAGGCCUACCAAGGCUACGGUCCGUACCUGGGCUGAGAGGGUGAACAGUCACACUGGAACUGAGACACGGUCCAGACUCCUACGGGAGGCAGCAGUGGGGAAUAUUGGACAAUGGGCGAAAGCCUGAUCCAGCCAUGCCGCGUGUGUGAAGAAGGUCUUCGGAUUGUAAAGCACUUUAAGUUGGGAGGCGUUACCAACAGAAUAAGCACCGGCUAACUACGUGCCAGCAGCCGCGGUAAUUC